rnacentral:rRNA from 1 species
GACGAACGCUGGCGGCGUGCUUAACACAUGCAAGUCGAACGGAAAGGCCCUGCUUUUGUGGGGUGCUCGAGUGGCGAACGGGUGAGUAACACGUGAGUAGCCUGCCCUUGACUUUGGGAUAACUUCAGGAAACUGGGGCUAAUACCGGAUAGGAGCUCCUGCUGCAUGGUGGGGGUUGGAAAGUUUCGGCGGUUGGGGAUGGACUCGCGGCUUAUCAGCUUGUUGGUGGGGUAGUGGCUUACCAAGGCUUUGACGGGUAGCCGGCCUGAGCGGGUGACCGGCCACAUUGGGACUGAGAUACGGCCCAGACUCCUACGGGAGGCAGCAGUGGGGAAUAUUGCACAAUGGGCGGAAGCCUGAUGCAGCAACGCCGCGUGCGGGAUGACGGCCUUCGGGUUGUAAACCGCUUUCGCCUGUGACGAAGCGUGAGUGACGGUAAUGGGUAAAGAAGCACCGGCUAACUACGUG